UCUGUGUGUUUGCAUACGUGUCCUGCCUCUCUGCUCCCAGCCGUUAAGAGAUCAGAGUUGAUCGGUGGCUGUCCAGGCCUUUCAGAGACACUGACACGCCGGCAGCACAAUGAUGAUGUCACUGAUUCUACUGCUGGUCACCCUGGGGCUCCUUGUUCAGGAUUCAUCAGGAGAUAUCAUCCUGACUCAGUCUCCUGCAUCUCAGUCUGUUGUUCCAGGUCAGACUGUCUCUAUCAGAUGUAAAGCCAGUUCAACUGCCAGUAUAUACCUUAACUGGUACCUCCAGAAACCUGAUGAACCUCCCAAACUCUUGAUUUAUCAUGCUACUAAUCGUCAGUCUGGAGUUUCAGGUCGUUUUAGUGGAAGUGGAUCUGGGACUGCCUUCACUCUGAGCAUCAGUGGAGUUCAGACUGAAGAUGCAGGAGAUUAUUACUGUCAGCAGAGUAACAGCUUCCCGUUCACACAGUGAUACAACGUCGUACAAAAACCUCCUCAGCUGGAGAGGAACUGAUCCGACUCAACAGCUGCAUAGAAACUAAAAGACAACAUAUGAUUAAAAUAUACUUUAUACUUGUAUUUAAUUCUAACAUUUUUAAACGAACAGUACUGACUCUAUUAAAAAUAUUUUAUUUUUAUUGAC